rnacentral:rRNA from 1 species
UCUGGCGGCUUUAGCGCGGUGGUCCCACCUGACCCCAUGCCGAACUCAGAAGUGAAACGCCGUAGCGCCGAUGGUAGUGUGGGGUCUCCCCAUGUGAGAGUAGGGAACUGCCAGAU